rnacentral:rRNA from 1 species
GACGAACGCUGGCGGCGUGCCUAAUACAUGCAAGUAGAACGCACAGUUUAUACCGUAGCUUGCUACACCAUAAACUGUGAGUUGCGAACGGGUGAGUAACGCGUAGGUAACCUGCCUGGUAGCGGGGGAUAACUAUUGGAAACGAUAGCUAAUACCGCAUAAUAUUGAUUAUUGCAUGAUAAUUGAUUGAAAGAUGCUAUUGCAUCACUACCAGAUGGACCUGCGUUGUAUUAGCUAGUAGGUGAGGUAACGGCUCACCUAGGCGACGAUACAUAGCCGACCUGAGAGGGUGAUCGGCCACACUGGGACUGAGACACGGCCCAGACUCCUACGGGAGGCAGCAGUAGGGAAGCUUCGGCAAUGGACGAAAGUCUGACCGAGCAACGCCGCGUGAGUGAAGAAGGUUUUCGGAUCGUAAAGCUCGGUUGUAAGAGAAGAACGGGUGUGAGAGUGGAAAGUUCACACUGUGACGGUAUCUUACCAGAAAGGGACGGCUAACUACGUG